CACCUCUAGCAUUACAAGUAUUAGAGGCAUUGCCUGCCCAGUGACUAAAGUUAAACGGCCGCGGUAUCCUGACCGUGCAAAGGUAGCAUAAUCACUUGUUCCUUAAUUAGGGACUAGUAUGAAUGGCUAGACGAGGAUUCAACUGUCUCUUAUUUUUAAUCAGUGAAAUUGACCUUCCAGUGAAGAGGCUGGAAUAACAUAAUAAGACGAGAAGACCCUAUGGAGCUUUAAUUUAUUAGCAUAAUUACUAAAAUUAAAUAUCCUAAUGGUACAAAAAUAAAAAUAUAAGCUAAGAAUUUCGGUUGGGGUGACCUCGGAGAACAAAAAAUCCUCCGAAUGAUUAUAGCAUAGACUAACAAGUCAAAACAACCUAUUAAAUCUUAUUGACCCAAAGUAUUUUGAUCAACGGACCAAGUUACCCUAGGGAUAACAGCGCAAUCCUAUUUAAGAGUUCAUAUCGACAAUAAGGGUUUACGACCUCGAUGUUGGAUCAGGACACCCCAAUGGUGCAGAAGCUAUUAACGGUUCGUUUGUUCAACGAUUAAAGUCCUA
rnacentral:rRNA from 1 species